UACGUAGGGUGCAAGCGUUGUCCGGAAUUAUUGGGCGUAAAGAGCUUGUAGGCGGUUUGUCGCGUCUGCUGUGAAAUUUCGGGGCUCAACCUCGGACUUGCAGUGGGUACGGGCAGACUAGAGUGUGGUAGGGGAGACUGGAAUUCCAGGUGUAGCGGUGAAAUGCGUAGAUAUCUGGAGGAACACCGGUGGCGAAGGCGGCAUCCUGGACCGGCAUUGACGCUGAGGCGCGAAAGCCAGGGGAGCAAACGGG
rnacentral:rRNA from 1 species